rnacentral:lncRNA from 1 species
UGGGCUGCUGUUCUGGGCCGUUUGCCUGUACAGACAUUUCUAGAAUCUCCAAGUGUCACUUCCAGGGUGGCCCAUCUCCUGUUCUGGACACCACUUUACACUCAGCCCAGCUCCAUGUAGCUGAAGGAAGCAUGCUAGUUCCCCUGCUCACCUGCUCGCCUGCCUCAGCUGCCACUCCAUUUCUUGGCUACUCCAGAGUGAACUGGGAUAGAGAAGGAAAGAAUAUACACAGCAGAAUAGAGGGCCACCAUGUCGUACUCUUUGUGAAUGGCCUCCUGGAGUUGGGCAAGGAGGAGAGACUGUACGGAGC